GAUGAACGCUGGCGGCGUGCUUAACACAUGCAAGUCGAACGAAGCACUUUGUUUGAUUUCCUUCGGGACUGAUUAUUUUGUGACUGAGUGGCGGACGGGUGAGUAACGCGUGGGUAACCUGCCUUGUACAGGGGGAUAACAGUUGGAAACGGCUGCUAAUACCGCAUAAGCGCACGGCAUCGCAUGAUGCAGUGUGAAAAACUCCGGUGGUAUAAGAUGGACCCGCGUUGGAUUAGCUAGUUGGUGAGGUAACGGCCCACCAAGGCGACGAUCCAUAGCCGACCUGAGAGGGUGACCGGCCACAUUGGGACUGAGACACGGCCCAAACUCCUACGGGAGGCAGCAGUGGGGAAUAUUGCACAAUGGGCGAAAGCCUGAUGCAGCGACGCCGCGUGAGCGAAGAAGUAUUUCGGUAUGUAAAGCUCUAUCAGCAGGGAAGAUAAUGACGGUACCUGACGAAGAAGCACCGGCUAAAUACGUG
rnacentral:rRNA from 1 species